rnacentral:rRNA from 1 species
AGUAGGGAAUCUUCCGCAAUGGGCGAAAGCCUGACGGAGCAACGCCGCGUGAGUGAUGAAGGUCUUCGGAUCGUAAAACUCUGUUAUCAGGGAAGAACAAAUGUGUAAGUAACUGUGCACAUCUUGACGGUACCUGAUCAGAAAGCCACGGCUAACUACGUGCCAGCAGCCGCGGUAAUACGUAGGUGGCAAGCGUUAUCCGGAAUUAUUGGGCGUAAAGCGCGCGUAGGCGGUUUUUUAAGUCUGAUGUGAAAGCCCACGGCUCAACCGUGGAGGGUCAUUGGAAACUGGAAAACUUGAGUGCAGAAGAGGAAAGUGGAAUUCCAUGUGUAGCGGUGAAAUGCGCAGAGAUAUGGAGGAACACCAGUGGCGAAGGCGACUUUCUGGUCUGUAACUGACGCUGAUGUGCGAAAGCGUGGGGAUCAAA